CUAAAGUGCUUGUGGAAAACCCAAUUCAGUUGGUUUUACGGGUGAUCUACCUAUUUAAUUUCCUCUGUGUGUUUACUUUAAAAGUGGUCUCAAUCGAGAACUAACGUGUGGGUUGAAUGUGUUGAUAUGAAUGACAGGGAGGGCAAGUGCGUUCAUGGGAAGUACUAGGGGGACAUCCUUCCCACCUAACUGGAUGUCGGUACUAAGUGAUCGCGACUAUAGCAGUCUUAAAACUAGAGCUGCAUUUUUAUCAAAGACCAGAACACUCUAGCAAGAGCGUGGAUAUAAAGUACUUGCAUCGUACUUGUUUGACGUAUGUUUUAACAAAGCUCUUAAUAAAGUGAACACCAUCCUCAUGCAAUUUCUC
rnacentral:lncRNA from 1 species